GAAAUCGAUGUCUCGCAAUGAUGGAGCCGAAUGGGUUCGAAAGCAGCAAUUUCGCCCGAUGUUUCGAGCCGGCAAAGUGCGAUAAUAAGCCCGCGGGCAGUCGGUGAGAAUCUGCAAUUCGCUCCGCUCAAAUUGAAUACUCCGUAGGCAGAAUCUGGACUCUCCGUCGAGGGUUAAACCUAAGAUCACCGAUCCGUGA